AAUUCUCCAAUCAAAAGACAUAGAGUGACUGAAUGGAUUAAAAAAAAGAAAAGAAGACUCAACUACUUGCUGCCUACAAGAGACAAAUUUUAUUUUAAG